UCUAGAGAGAGCGCCAAGGCGAGCGCGCAAGGAUGCCGCGGGCCUGGGCCCGCUUGUGCAAGCUAGGAUAGCUUGGGCCGCAGCCCCAGCGCGAGGUCUGCGCGCGCCCGGGCGUGCAUGCGGCUGCGGGGAGGUUCUGUGUGCGCGCAGGGCUGGAGCGCGGCCCGCGUUGGAGCUGAGUGGGCGCUGCGCGCGCGGGAGUAUUUCACAGCAAAUCUGAAUGUUUAAUUAAAGAAUGGAAUACAGAAAACCACAAAAAACUUCAGCUAUUGAUUUAAUCUCAUCUGAAAUUCUACAGCAUGUUUCUCCAGAGAGUUUGAAGAAGGCAAGAUUCAAGCUCUAUUUAAUUUGGUGGGUUGUAUUCAAGUUCAGACUCAAUUCUCUUCAUCUCUGAGAAAAUGAUGCACUGAAUACGUUCAUCUUUCCCUU
rnacentral:lncRNA from 1 species